rnacentral:rRNA from 1 species
CGUAGGUGGCAAGCGUUGUCCGGAAUUAUUGGGCGUAAAGCGCGCGCAGGCGGUCCUUUAAGUCUGGUGUGAAAGCCCACGGCUCAACCGUGGAGGGUCAUUGGAAACUGGGGGGACUUGAGUACAGAAGAGAAGAGUGGAAUUCCACGUGUAGCGGUGAAAUGCGUAGAGAUGUGGAGGAACACCAGUGGCGAAGGCGACUCUUUGGUCUGUAACUGACGCUGAGGCGCGAAAGCGUGGGGAGCAAACAGGAUUAGAUACCCUGGUAGUCCACGCCGUAAACGAUGAGUGCUAAGUGUUAGAGGGUUUCCGCCCUUUAGUGCUGCAGCAAACGCGUUAAGCACUCCGCCUGGGGAGUACGGCCGCAAGGCUG